UCUGCUUCCCUUUUAAAUAUAAGUUCUACCUUUUGUCUUUGCUCCCACAUCUGAAUAUAAGUGGCUAGAAGCAGCCACACCACUUCUUGAUCACUUUGCUGCUUAGACAUUUCUUCUGCCAGAUACCCUAAAUCAUCACUCUCAAGUUCAAACUUCCACAGAUUCCUAGGGCAUGAACAGAAGGCAGCUAAGCUCUUUGCUAAGGCGUUAACAUUGUGUGACCUUUCUAUCAGCAUUUUGGUCACAACCAUUUAACCAGUCCCUAAGAAAUUCCAAACUUUCCCUCAUCUUUCUGUCUUCUUCUGAGCCCUACAAACUCUUCCAACUUCUGCCUGUCACCAAGUUCCAAAGCUGCUUCCACAUUUUCAGGUAUCUCUACAGCAAUGACUCACUUCUCAGUACCAGUUUUCUGUAUUAGGUCAUUCUUGCAUUGCUAUAAAGAAAUCCCCAAGACCAGGUAAUUUAUAAAGCGAAGAGGUUCAUGGUACUACAGGCUAUACAGGAAGUAUGGCACCAACAUCUACUUCUGAGGAGUCCUAAUGAAGCUUCUAAUCAUGGCUGAAGGCAAAGGGGGAACAAAC
rnacentral:lncRNA from 1 species